AUGACCUGUACUAUCCCAUAGAACCCCCAUUUAGAAAGGCCCCAAGCUUAGCGCUUUGCUUAAUCUCUGCUGUCACUGUCUUGAACUUCUUAGGAAUUUUGAAUUAGAAGCCCCACAAUCUAUGUGGCCAAUCCCACUUCCAGCUAUCUGCAUAGCUGAUUCUUUUUUGUCCCUUAAGGCUUAGUUCCAAUGUUAGCUCUUCAGAGGCCCUCCCUGACCAUCCUAUCUAUGUGGCCCCCUCCUCCCCUUCCUAGUGAUUCCCUGAUAUGUAUCAGUUAGUGUCCCACUUAUCAUUAGCACAUUACUAUUUACCAUCUUUCUCUCCCCUAGAAGAAUGGGUCCUGUCUGUUCAGUUCAUCACUGUGUCGCUAUGCAUGGCUCAAGUGUCUUGGGCCAACUGAGAGCUUCUGCUCCAUCCAGGAAGAGGCAAGGCCACUGGGAAGCCCGAGCUGCGGGGCUCACUUGCGUGUGCAGUCAUCCACCCGUUCCCAGCCCUCAGCAAAUGUCCUGCAGGAGCUUACCCCCACCCAAGCCAGCCCUGCCCUCAGCCCCACAUGCCGCCUCCCUCCUAAAGGCCUGUCCCUCUACCACCAUUACCACUACUGCAG